rnacentral:tRNA from 1 species
GCACUGGACGCCUUAUUGCAAGGCAGUGGCCUGCAAUGGCGUUUCAGCGGUAGCCACAGCGUGGUCGUGCAACCGGCCCCAGCACC